rnacentral:lncRNA from 1 species
CGCCCCCGGCCCGCCACGUAAUGUUUUCAGCACCGCCCCCGGCCCGCCACGUAAUGUUUUCAGCACCGCCCCCGGCCCGCCACGUAAUGUUUUCAGCACCGCCCCCCGGCCCGCCACGUAAUGUUUUCAGCACCACCCCCGGCCCGCCACAAGCCGGCUCCAUUACUACAACAGGCAGCUACCAGACUGCAAAGUAGGGAGUUGACCCAUAAAGAGGCCAAUGAUAUUCCGAUGAAAGGAAGCAGAGAUCAAUGUUUGAAGAGAUUGAGGUGGUUACGACUUGUACAACAGAAUACCAAAGAGGAAGCUGCAAAAAGGAGAAGAGAGACAAAAUAGACUACAGUGAAGUGCUGAAUAUUAAGGGUAUAGCUCAAAAAAUACAAAUGAUUAUGUCAGCUGGUGAUACAAUUGGCAAUUGUCUUGUGGAUAUGAACACCAGUUUUUUUGUCAUUUGUGGAUUCACUUCAGUGUUCAUGAUUGCCUGUAUGUAUGGGUUAAGAAGAAUGGACCAAUGUUCUGUUUCUGACUAUGAGGCAACAUAUGUACCAUUACAAUUUCUCGCCUACAUUGGACCUUCAUCAAUUAAGGCAUGAGUUUAUCCAUGUAUAAGGUUGGCUGCAAAAUCCUUCACAAUAUAAGUAUACCCCAGGAGUGCACAAAACAGACCUCCUUUUCACUUGUAUAUUUCAUAGAGGUAUAAGCAUUGAAAAAAAAAUUGAAAGAUAAGAGUCUCAUUGUAGUAGAGAAGUCUUGACCUGUGAUUUUGAGAAAGAGCUGUCCACAUCAAGAAGGCUGUCUUCUUCUGGGGAGAAAUUUCCCUGGUUAGCUUUACCGUAAUGGUUUUAAUAGGUGUACAGUUUGAAGAGCGUGGAAGGAAGCUUCUGAGUUGUGAGAUUAUGAACAUAAGUUUCAAGGUCCUGAAGUUUUACUAAAUUGUGGAUGGCAAGAGAAAUCUUUCUCUGUUCUCAGAAGAUCCACUUGGGAUCUUCUUGGGAUCUAGACUGUGAAGGAGUUGAUUGCCCUCAGUCAGUGAACGAUGGAAAGCUUGCUUUACUUGCUGAUAAUACACUGUGACAUAAUGAGUUACUAUUAUAACAUCAGCACACUAGCAUGGAAAAGCUUUUCUACAACCAGAAAACUUGAAUUAUAAAUGACAACUUCAUGGAAUCCCUCUAGAAAUGUUUAAAUGGCCCAUCAAGUAGCAGAAUAUACCUGAAGUUAUCAUUGUCUUUCAGGAUAUGUAUUUGGCUAGGAUAGCUUUCUUUCCACCUUUAAGAUGUGAUACUAACUAAGCCAAAAGGUUAGCAGUUUUAACUUUUGUUAUCAGUUCAUUGCUUAAGAUUUUUAUUUGUCUUUCAUAUUCAUCUCUCUACCCUGUCCACAGGAGGCCUGAGGAGGGACCAGGCCAGGCUGGUUUGCAAACAGAAGCACCAGAAUCUCCAAACACAUGCCCCUUGGAACAGGCUCAUAAUCUGAUGCCAUCUGCAAGCUGCAGCUCAAGCCACGACUCCAUGCUUUGGGCUUCCUUGUACUGGCUCAGUGGCUUCCUCACCUGUGCAUGUACAUUUUUGUGCAUGCAUGCAUGUGGGAUGGGACAUGUUUGAGUGAAUGCCUCUUCAGGUGCACCUAGCACAGUCUCUGGGCUCUACUGAUAAGAUAUCUCACACAUACUAUGUACAGUUAUCUGUCAAAUGCUACAAAUGUUGCAAUGAAUAAAACACAUUUUAAAGCAUUAAAAAAUAUAUUCAAUUAAAAAAUAAAAUAUGUUUUGAAAUUUCUGCAUAUCAAUCCCUAGAUGUGACUAAUUUGGGAGUCUUCAUUUUCAAACGUAGUUCUUCAGUGCAGUGCUGUUCACUUGAAAUGCUCUAUUGUGACUUUAUAUUUUAGUAAGAUUUCACCAUUUCUAUAACACUUGCUGCUUCCAGGGCCAACUACUGAUGCAUGUAUAAGCCAGAAGGAAUUCAGGUCUUCAGAAAUUAAGCAUCCCAUUUUCACUUUAAAUACUGGCUUUGUGUCUUAGGUCUUUUAAUCAACUUAGACAAUGAUGAUUUUUCCUUACCUAAGUGAUAUAGCUGUGUCCCCACCCAAAUCUCAACUUGAAUUGUAGCUCCCAGAAUUCCCAUGUGUUAUGGGAGGGAUGGGGUGGGGAGUAAUUGAAUCAUGGGCUCUAGUAUUUCCUCUGCUUUUCUCAAGGUAGUGCAUACAUCUCACAAGAUCUGAUGGGUUUAUCAGGGGUUCCCACUUUGGCUUCUUCCUCAUUUUUCUCUUACUGCCACCAUGUAAGAAGUGUUUUUCACCACCUGUCAUGAUUCUGAGGCCUUCCCACCUAUGUGGAGCUGUAGGUUCAAUUAAACCUCUUUUUAUUCCCAAUCUCCAGUAUGUCUUUAUCAGCAGCAUGAAAAUGAACUAAUACACUAACAUGCAAGAAAAAUAAACAAAUGGAUAGAACACAAAAAUCCCUGCAAAUUUCCAAAAGACAGCACUUACCACAAUCCUCAGUUGCUCUGAGAGAAUGAUGAACACAAUGGCCCUGAUGGGUACCUCACUUGGUCACCUGGCAUUCCUGAGGGUUGCAGAAAGCUCUACUUUGUAUCCCUCUUCUGACACCAUCUGCUCAAAAAAAGAAAAAAGAAAAAAAAACUAUGGCUAAAUUAAAUUAAAAAGAGCUCAAUUGAGCAAACAAAUAUUUCAGAAUUGGGCAGCCUUCCAAGCCAGAGUAAGAUCAGAGACUACAGUGCAAACACAUGAUGGAAGAAUAUUUACAGAGAGAAAACGGAAAGUGAAGUACAGAAAAUAGAAGUGAGGUAUAGAAACAGCUGGAUUGGUUACAGCUCAGCGUUUGCCUUAUUUGAACGUAGUUUGAGCAGUUGGCCACCUUUGAUUGGCUGAAUCUCAGUGAUUAGCCCAAGAUAGGCUAUAGUCUUCUUACAACUCCAUUUACGUUGUAGAUCAUGAGGUCAAGAGAAACCC